rnacentral:rRNA from 1 species
UCGAGCGGAUGAGAGGAGCUUGCUCCUUGAUUUAGCGGCGGACGGGUGAGUAAUGCCUAGGAAUCUGCCUGGUAGUGGGGGAUAACGUCCGGAAACGGGCGCUAAUACCGCAUACGUCCUACGGGUAGAAAGCAGGGGACCUUCGGGCCUUGCGCUAUCAGAUGAGCCUAGGUCGGAUUAGCUAGUUGGUGAGGUAAUGGCUCACCAAGGCGACGAUCCGUAACUGGUCUGAGAGGAUGAUCAGUCACACUGGAACUGAGACACGGUCCAGACUCCUACGGGAGGCAGCAGUGGGGAAUAUUGGACAAUGGGCGAAAGCCUGAUCCAGCCAUGCCGCGUGUGUGAAGAAGGUCUUCGGAUUGUAAAGCACUUUAAGUUGGGAGGAAGGGCAGUAAGCUAAUACCUUGCUGUUUUGACGUUACCGACAGAAUAAGCACCGGCUAACUUCGUGCCAGCAGCCGCGGUAAUACGAAGGGUGCAAGCGUUAAUCGGAAUUACUGGGCGUAAAGCGCGCGUAGGUGGUUCGUUAAGUUGGAUGUGAAAGCCCCGGGCUCAACCUGGGAACUGCAUCCAAAACUGGCGAGCUAGAGUACGGUAGAGGGUGGUGGAAUUUCCUGUGUAGCGGUGAAAUGCGUAGAUAUAGGAAGGAACACCAGUGGCGAAGGCGACCACCUGGACUGAUACUGACACUGAGUCAAAGCG